UCCUCCGUGGCGCAAUUGGCUAGCGCGUCUGACUGUUAUACACUCACGUGUACGGCGAUCAGGAGGUUCGUGGUUCGAGCCCACGCGGGGGAG